rnacentral:rRNA from 1 species
GGAAUAUUGGACAAUGGCCGGAAGGCUGAUCCAGCCAUGCCGCGUGCGGGAGGACGGCCCUAUGGGUUGUAAACCGCUUUUGCGAGGGAGCAAUAAUCACUACGUGUAGUGAGAUGAGAGUACCUUACGAAUAAGCAUCGGCUAACUCCGUGCCAGCAGCCGCGGUAAUACGGAGGAUGCAAGCGUUAUCCGGAUUUAUUGGGUUUAAAGGGUGCGUAGGCGGCUUGGUAAGCGGGAGGUGAAAUGCCGGCGCUCAACGUCGGAAGUGCCUCCCGAACUGUCGGGCUUGAAUGACACUGCCGUGGGAGGAAUGUGUGGUGUAGCGGUGAAAUGCAUAGAGAUCACACAGAACACCGAUUGCGAAGGCAUCUCACGAAGUGUUGAUUGACGCUGAGGCACGAAAGCGUGGGGAUCAAACA